GGGCGCUUAGCUCAGCUGGCAAGAGCACCUCCCUUACAAGGAGGCGGUCGGGGGUUCGAGUCCCUCAGCGCCCA
rnacentral:tRNA from 1 species